rnacentral:rRNA from 1 species
GAUGAACGCUGGCGGCGUGCCUAAUACAUGCAAGUCGAGCGAACGGACGAGAAGCUUGCUUUUCUGAUGUUAGCGGCGGACGGGUGAGUAACACGUGGAUAACCUACCUAUAAGACUGGGAUAACUUCGGGAAACCGGAGCUAAUACCGGAUAAUAUUUUGAACCGCAUGGUUCAAAAGUGAAAGACGGUCUUGCUGUCACUUAUAGAUGGAUCCGCGCUGCAUUAGCUAGUUGGUAAGGUAACGGCUUACCAAGGCAACGAUGCAUAGCCGACCUGAGAGGGUGAUCGGCCACACUGGAACUGAGACACGGUCCAGACUCCUACGGGAGGCAGCAGUAGGGAAUCUUCCGUAGUGGGCGAAAGCCUGACGGAGCAACGCCGCGUGAGUGAUGAAGGUCUUCGGAUCGUAAAACUCUGUUAUUAGGGAAGAACAUAUGUGUAAGUAACUGUGCACAUCUUGACGGUACCUAAUCAGAAAGCCACGGCUAACUACGUG